GUGAAGCGGGAAAAGCUCAAAUUUAAAAUCUGACAGUCUCUGGCUGUCCGAGUUGUAAUCUAGAGAAGUGAUGCCCGCGCUGGACCGUGUACAAGUCUCCUGGAAUGGAGCGUCAUAGAGGGUGAGAAUCCCGUCUCUGACACGGACUACCAGGGCUUUGUGGUACGCUCUCAAAGAGUCGAGUUGUUUGGGAAUGCAGCUCAAAAUGGGUGGUAAAUUCCAUCUAAAGCUAAAUAUUGGCGAGAGACCGAUAGCGAACAAGUACCGUGAGGGAAAGAUGAAAAGAACUUUGGAAAGAGAGUUAA
rnacentral:ncRNA from 1 species